rnacentral:lncRNA from 1 species
UAAAGUAUAUUGUGAGCACCAGAAUUUGAAUUCUAUUGGGUGGAGUCAUGCAGCACCACACCAAGAACUUUUCUCACAAUGCUACAUAUGAACCCGUGGUUACAAUAGAAUGAACACAAUGAUUAGUUUCUCCAGCUCCGCCCCUGACCCGAAACCCAUAAAACUUCAUUCUCUUUCCCUGACGGUGCACUUCUAUGUUGCUCCUGCGUGUGGAUUGUCAACAACAUAUCACUAAUGGUAGGUUGUGUUUUUUCCGCACCACCCGAUGUACUCUGGAUGCAUUACGUUGUAAUCUAAAACAGGUUUUUACUUUUGGAAAAAAAAAACACCUCAAAACAGAAAAGCAAAGGGAAGAACUGAACAUAAAUUCUUGAAUUCAUGAUGAGAAAAAGAAGAAGAAAAAAGGACCUCUAAUCGGGCAAGAAACUGUUGCGUUGCCUUCCAAGCUAGGCAAUCCGCUGGAUCUAAUUAAGCUAGCAGGUGGCAAGCAGUACCGCAUUAGUACGUUGUAUUGUCCUCCUCAAGAAAAGGAAACACAGCACAAAAAAAAGACACUACGGAUACGUGCAGUGCUAAGCCAUAGCCAGGCCCUGAAACGGGAUUAUGGGACAGCGAAAGCACGAGCGGCCCCGCUCCCUGGCACGAACGGCACACAAGUGGGUCUGUGUGGGUAGCGUGCGUGUAUACGUCACGAGCUCAA